rnacentral:rRNA from 1 species
GAGUUUGAUCUUGGCUCAGGAUGAACGCUGGCGGCGUGCUUAACACAUGCAAGUCGAACGAAGCGCCUUAUUUGAUUUUCUUCGGAACUGAAGAUUUGGUGACUGAGUGGCGGACGGGUGAGUAACGCGUGGGUAACCUGCCCUGUACAGGGGGAUAACAAUCAGAAAUGACUGCUAAUACCGCAUAAGACCACAGCACCGCAUGGUGCAGGGGUAAAAACUCCGGUGGUACAGGAUGGACCCGCGUCUGAUUAGCUGGUUGGUGAGGUAACGGCUCACCAAGGCGACGAUCAGUAGCCGGCUUGAGAGAGUGAACGGCCACAUUGGGACUGAGACACGGCCCAAACUCCUACGGGAGGCAGCAGUGGGGAAUAUUGCACAAUGGGGGAAACCCUGAUGCAGCAACGCCGCGUGAGUGAAGAAGUAUUUCGGUAUGUAAAGCUCUAUCAGCAGGGAAGAAAGUGACGGUACCUGACUAAGAAGCCCCGGCUAACUACGUGCCAGCCGCCGCAGUAACACCG